CAGGGCGUAGCGCAGAGGCCAACGCGCGAGCUCGGGGAGCUCGAGAUCGGAGGUUCGAUUCCUCCCGCCCUGA
rnacentral:tRNA from 1 species